rnacentral:rRNA from 1 species
CGGAUUGAAGGCUGAAAUUCGCCUUCAUGAAGCCGGAAUUGCUAGUAAUGGCAGGUCAGCAUACUGCCGUGAAUACGUUCCCGGGCCUUGUACACACCGCCCGUCACACCAUGAGAGUUGGGAAUACCCGAAGCCUGUGAGCUAACGAAAGAGGCAGCAGUCGAAGGUAGAAUCAAUGAUUGGGGUGAAGUCGUAACAAGGUACC